rnacentral:rRNA from 1 species
UGGGGAAUAUUGGACAAUGGGGGGAACCCUAUCCAGCCAUGCCGCGUGUGUGAAGAAGGCCUUAUGGUUGUAAAGCACUUUAAGCGAGGAGGAGGCUACUAGUAUUAAUACUACUGGAUAGUGGACGUUACUCGCAGAAUAAGCACCGGCUAACUCUGUGCCAGCAGCCGCGGUAAUACAGAGGGUGCGAGCGUUAAUCGGAUUUACUGGGCGUAAAGCGUGCGUAGGCGGCCAUUUAAGUCAAAUGUGAAAUCCCGAGCUUAACUUGGGAAUUGCAUUCGAUACUGGAUGGCUAGAGUAUGGGAGAGGAUGGUAGAAUUCCAGGUGUAGCGGUGAAAUGCGUAGAGAUCUGGAGGAAUACCGAUGGCGAAGGCAGCCAUCUGGCCUAAUACUGACGCUGAGGUACGAAAGCAUGGGGAGCAAACAGGAUUAGAUACCCUGGUAGUCCAUGCCGUAAACGAUGUCUACUAGCCGUUGGGGCCUUUGAGGCUUUAGUGGCGCAGCUAACGCGAUAAGUAGACCGCCUGGGGAGUACGGUCGCAAGACUAAAACUUAAAGGGAAUUUGACGGGGGUCAUAGCUGUUUCCUG